rnacentral:rRNA from 1 species
AGCGAACGCUGGCGGCAGGCUUAACACAUGCAAGUCGAGCGGGCACUUUCGGGUGUCAGCGGCAGACGGGUGAGUAACACGUGGGAACGUACCCUUCGGUUCGGAAUAACGCUGGGAAACUAGCGCUAAUACCGGAUACGCCCUUUUGGGGAAAGGUUUACUGCCGAAGGAUCGGCCCGCGUCUGAUUGGCUAGUUGGUGGGGUAACGGCCUACCAAGGCGACGAUCAGUAGCUGGUCUGAGAGGAUGAUCAGCCACACUGGGACUGAGACACGGCCCAGCCUCCUACGGGAGGCAGCAGUGGGGAAUAUUGGACAAUGGGCGCAAGCCUGAUCCAGCCAUGCCGCGUGAGUGAUGAAGGCCUUAGGGUUGUAAGGCUCUUUUGUCCGGGACGAUAAUGACGGUACCGGAAGAAUAAGCCCCGGCUAACUUCGUGCCAGCCGCCGCAGUAA